rnacentral:rRNA from 1 species
CAUUGAUAAUAACUUACAAUUAUUACCCGCCUGGGAACUACGAGCACCAGCUUAAAACCCAAAGGACUUGGCGGUGCUUUAGACCCACCUAGAGGAGCCUGUUCUAGAACCGAUAACCCCCGUUCAACCUCACCCUUCCUUGUUCUUCCCGCCUAUAUACCACCGUCGUCAGCUUACCCUGUGAAGGAAUAAUAGUAAGCAAAACUGGCAAAGCCCAAAACGUCAGGUCGAGGUGUAGCGUAUGGAAGGGGAAGAAAUGGGCUACAUUCACUAACUCAGUGUACACGAAUGACACCCUGAAACACGUGUCUGAAGGAGGAUUUAGCAGUAAGAAGAAAAUAGAGUGUUCUACUGAAACUGGCCCUGAAGCGCGC